rnacentral:rRNA from 1 species
UACGAAGGGGGCUAGCGUUGCUCGGAAUCACUGGGCGUAAAGGGUGCGUAGGCGGGUCUUUAAGUCAGGGGUGAAAUCCUGGAGCUCAACUCCAGAACUGCCCUUGAUACUGAAGGUCUUGAGUUCGGGAGAGGUGAGUGGAACUGCGAGUGUAGAGGUGAAAUUCGUAGAUAUUCGCAAGAACACCAGUGGCGAAGGCGGCUCACUGGCCCGAUACUGACGCUGAUGCACGAAAGCGUGGGGAGCAAACAGG